UACGGAGGGUGCGAGCGUUGUCCGGAAUCAUUGGGCGUAAAGGGCGCGUAGGUGGUGGGGUCAGUCAGUGGUGAAAGCGCGGGGCUCAACUCCGCGUCGGCCAUUGAUACUGCUUCACUUGAGCACUGUAGAGGCAGGCGGAAUUCCGGGUGUAGCGGUGGAAUGCGUAGAGAUCCGGAAGAACACCGGUGGCGAAGGCGGCCUGCUGGGCAGUAGCUGACACUGAGGCGCGACAGCGUGGGGAGCAAACAGG
rnacentral:rRNA from 1 species